UUCAAUUUCUACAAGUGUAGAAACCGCGCGAUGAGACGGAUAAAAAUUAUAGUAAAUUAUAAAUUAAAUAUACAAAUAAAAAUAUAAAAAUAUAGUAAAAAAUAAUUAAUAUUUGAUUGGUUAAUAAUAUAAAAAAUAUAUUAAAAAAAUUUUAGAAUAAAAAUAUAAUUUAAUGGAGAACAAAGAAAGAAAACAAAAAAUAAAUUAUAAGAGAAUAAAAAUUGUUGAUAGGAAUUAAAAAAACAUAAUUUAAUGUAAGAAUAAAAGAGAAGGAAAAAAAUAAAAAUCAGAGGUGAUUUUGUUGGGAUUGGUUUUAUUACUUGACGAAUUAUAAUGGGCUCCGGUUGCUUUUUUUUUAUACAUAAAAAUUAAAUUUUUUUUAAAAAAAUUAGUAAUUAAAAUAAAAUAAAAUUAGGAGAGAAAAUUUUUUUUUUUCUUUUCAAGAAAGAAAAA
rnacentral:lncRNA from 1 species